rnacentral:rRNA from 1 species
CCUACGAGAGGCAGCAGUGAGGAAUAUUGGUCAAUGGGCGGAAGCCUGAACCAGCCAAGUCGCGUGAGGGAAUAAGGCCCUAUGGGUCGUCAACCUCUUUUGCCGGGGAGCAAGGGCCGGGACGAGUCCCGGGCCGGAGAGUACCCGGAGAAAAAGCAUCGGCUAACUCCGUGCCAGCAGCCGCGGUAAUACGGAGGAUGCGAGCGUUAUCCGGUUUUAUUGGGUUUAAAGGGUGCGUAGGCGGACUGUUAAGUCAGCGGUAAAAGCCCGGGGCUCAACCCCGGCGAGCCGUUGAAACGGGCUGUCUUGAGAUGUCGAGAGGUAUGCGGAAUGCGCAGUGUAGCGGUGAAAUGCUUAGAUAUUGCGCAGAACUCCGAUUGCGAAGGCAGCAUACCGGCGGCGAUCUGACGCUGAGGCACGAAAGCGUGGGUAUCGAACAGGAUUAGAUACCCCAGUAGUC